rnacentral:rRNA from 1 species
CAAUGCAGAUGAAAGCUCUGCACAUCGAAAGUUCAAGGUUUCCUUGGCAAUGGUAAUCAACCAAGGGUUAGGCGGUCCUAAGGGAAAGCCGAGAGGCGUACUCGAUGGAUAGUGGGUUAAUAUUCCCACCCUUGAAUAUAUUUUUAACAAGUUGCGCAAUGUAGUAAUUCUAGCGGAUAAUUGGAUUUCACGCUCUUGGUCUAAGGAGCAAUCUGAAGACACAGAAAAUUCGGAAUUUAUUCCGGAAAUUAGAGUGAGCGCGUUGCCUAGAAAAGGCUUGUUAAGUUAAAUUUAUUUAAACCGUACCGUAAACCGACACAGGUGAACAAGCGUAAGUAUGCUAAGAUGAACGGGUGAGACCUCGUUAAGGAACUAGGCAAAUUAGUGGCCGUAAGUUCGCAAUAUGGCCUGCCCAAGUCCGCAAGGAUUUUGGGCUGCAACAACCGUACUUCAACCGUGAUCCCUGACCAGUGCUGGAAGGUUAAGCUUGGGGGUCGUAUCCGCAAGGGUAUGGCUCACUGAGUGAAGCCCCAGUGAACGUCGGCGAUAACUAUAAUCGUCCAAAGGUAGCGUAAUCCCUUGCCAGGUAAGUUCUGGCCCGCAUGAAUGGGUUAACGAGUUGAAGACUGUCUCGACGAGGCGCCCGGUGAAAAUGCAGUACCAGUGAAGAUGCUGGUUACCUGCGGCUAGACGGAAAGACCCCGGAAGCUUUACUGUAGUUUGAUAUUGACUUAUGAUUUUUAAUGCGUAGUGUAGUGGGUAGCCUAUGAAGCGGUAAUUUCGGUUACUGUGGAGGCGACGAUGAAACACCCAUCUUUGAAAAUUAUAAUUCUAAUUCACUUUAUUGUGAUGACAGUGUUAAAUGGGCAGUUUAAAUGGGGCAUUUGCCUCCUAAAGAGUAAUGGAGGCGUUUAAAGGUUAGCUAGCUCCGUAUGGAAAUCGGAGCGAUAGGGCAAAGCCAUAAGCUAGCUUUACUGCAAGACGUAUAUGUCGCGCAGUUGCGAAAGCAGAACUUAGUGAACCGACUUGAUUUUUAUAGAAAACAAGAAGAUCAUCAGCCAAAAGCUACUCCGGGGAUAACAGGCUAGUAGAGCCCGAGAGUCCAUAUCGACGGCUCUGUUCGGCACCUUAAAGCGAUGUCGGCUCAACACAUCCUGGGGGUGAAGCCGCUCCCAAGGGUUUGGCUGUUCGCCAAUUAAAGUGUUACGUGAGCUGGGUUCAAACCGUCGUGAGACAGGUUGGUCCCUAUCUACCGCAGGCGUUGAGUUUUGAGGGGAUUUGCUCCUAGUACGAGAGGACCGGAGUGAACUGACCUCUGGUGUACCAGUUGUUCUGCCAAGAGCAUCGCUGGGUAGCUAUGUCGGGAAUAGAUAAGCGCUGAAAGCAUAUAAGCGCGAAACUAACCCCAAGAUGAGAACUCUUAGAUUUCCCGCAGAUGACGGGAUUGAUAGGCUUCAGGUGUAAGGCUAGUAAUAGCUUCAGCCGAGAAGUACUAAUAAAUCAU